rnacentral:tRNA from 1 species
GGGGGUAUAGCUCAAUUGGUAGAGCGCCGCCCUUGCAAGGCGGAUGUUAGCGGUUCGAGUCCGCUUAUCUCCA